UCAUCGAACAAGAUGAUGAUUCCACUUUAGGGGGAGGGGGAGUUGAGAUUAAUUCGGUAAAAAAUUGUUUUGGCGAUACAGAGAGUCAUUUUAGAUUUUAGAUCAUAUCCGUGAAUGUCUCCGAAUCAUGGCUCAACUGUCUAGGAAAGGCGUCAGAAAGCCGCGCAUUGGGAGUCGAGGAAGAGUUGGUAGCGCCACUUAUUCGAUGGAUUGGUGAAUCGCCAUCAGCCUAUUCAACUAGGAACAUAUGCAGCGUACGCGGUGGAGCAUGGUGAUCCGGUGCCUCCGCACAUUGUUAACCAGGGAAACGUAUUCAUAAUGUUCAUACAGGGC